rnacentral:rRNA from 1 species
UACGAAGGGUCCAAGCGUUGUUCGGAAUCAUUGGGCGUAAAGCGCGCGCAGGCGGAUCAGCAAGUCGGGGGUGAAAGCCCGAGGCUCAACCUCGGAACUGCCUUCGAUACUGCGGGUCUCGAGUCCGGGAGAGGUGAGUGGAAUUCCUAGUGUAGAGGUGAAAUUCGUAGAUAUUAGGAAGAACACCAGUGGCGAAGGCGGCUCACUGGCCCGGUACUGACGCUGAGGCGCGAAAGCGUGGGGAGCAAACAGG